rnacentral:sRNA from 1 species
AUGCCAACUUGACGAACAGUUUUCAAAAAUAAAAUCCAAAAUCAAACACAAAAAAUUGUUAUUCUAAAAAAUACUACACAGCGACCAGCGACUAUUAACCUUCAUCUUAGACGCUCUAGUCUUGUUAGUUAUUGUCAAAUUUUUGUACUUAAGCUUUUGUUUGGCACCAAUUGUUCUCCAGAACAGCGCUCCAUACUGCACCAUUAUGUUGGGGUGGAGACCGACGUAUUUUGUUUUCAAUUGUUGAGAAAGUUGAGGAAUCCAUUAUUAGUGGUGCGGGCGAAUUUUUGUAUUUUCGAUACAUAAGAAGAGACUUUCUUGCUGUCUUUUUGGAGAUCACCCAUAAUGGAAAACUAAUAAAUAAGAACAAAUUUUUGUACUGACGAUUUUUGUAAGAUUUUGUGCAGCAAAAACAACGGUACUAAUGAUCGGAGUAUUUCUACAGCGGACAAAAAACCUGCCAAAGGGAUUGCUAGAGCAAAACAUUGUGAAGUGCUUACGGCCCGAACCUCAACGAGCUUAGAGAAUUGGCUGAGCAAUUAUCGAAGAAAUUGCGGUCGACUACCCAGAAGAAUGGGAUAAAAAUCAAACGGCGGGUCGUCAUUUACAAAAUAUCCUGAGCCGGCACUCCGAAAAAGCGUUGAUGGAAGGCCAAAUCAAGGAAACCAGCUUAGCUCACUAAAGAAGUCCAUCCGAAUCAUCGUCUAAGAGCCGUGGUGCUUUUCUUUUAUGUUUCUUCAUUUUAUAAAUUCUUGAUAACAGUUGUAUAUUUAAAGGAAUCAAUAUACCGAACACCUCUUUCUUUUAA